rnacentral:tRNA from 1 species
AGAGAGGUGGCUGAGUGGCUUAAGGCGUAUUGUUUUAAUAACAAUAUAUGCGUUCUUCGCAUCAAAGGUUCGAAUCCUUUCCUCUCUU